rnacentral:lncRNA from 1 species
GUGAAAUCUUAGCGUCAUCAUCUUGGCCUCCUUCCUAAUAAUGUCCACCUAAAGUCUUCUACAUUACCGUGUUUUGAUCCUGUGCGGCCUUCUGUAGGAGAAGUGAAUGAAGCCAUUGAUCUAUACAAGAAGGCCAUUCAAAUCCUUGAGGAUUCAAAAUACAUGGAAUUGGAUGACAUUGUAAUGGAACAGAUGAGAGUAGACUUGGCUGAAUUACUUCAUGUAACUGGAAGGUAAGAAAUAUCCCAACUGUUGGGUGUCUCUCAUUGUCUCCUCAUUAUAAUUUUUUAAUAGAUUUCCCUGAGCAUUUUGUGCACUGAGUUUUUUAAGUGUAUAAAUUGUAGGAAGAUGUCUUAAAACCAUUUAGAGUGAGCACUUAAGUUUGUUAUGUCAGAAUGUAGAGGCUAUUAAGAGUAUGAUAUUGGUUGUUGAAUUAGUAUACAUUAAGAUUGUGUUUGAGCCAUCCACCCCAUUUUUUUUUUUUUUUUUGUAAAAAAUGUGUUUUGUGAUAGUAUUUUUUGAGAUGUGGUUAAAUUUAUUUGUUUGUUUAUUUAUUUAUUUAUGAUAAAAAAAUGUGUUUUGUGAUAGUAUUUUUUGCGAUGUGGUUAAAAAGUAGGCAACAGCUGGUGUUGGUCACACAGUAUUACAGUCUUCUUUAAUUUUGUUUAUUUUAUUUUUAUGAAACCUAGUCCUUUUAAUUCUAUUUUUGAUAAAACACAGAGGAGAAGAAGGCCGAGCCAUUCUGGAGAAAUGCUUGUUAAUAAAUGAGAAGUAUAAAGGAAAAGAACAUCCCAGCUCAGUACCACUUCUUGUAAAUCUUGCAACUUCCUAUUCACGCUACAAGAAUUUUGUAGAAGCUGAGCGCUUGCUGAGCAUAAGUUUGCAAAUUAUGAUGAAGACUGUGCCCCCCGAUGAUCAGUCCCUCACAUUCCCGAUGUUACAUCUUGCCAUCACUCUGUACAAUCUAAAUCGAGAUGAAGAAGCUGAAAAACUUGCUCUCGAUGUUCUGCACAUUCGUGAGAAGGCAUUUGGAAGAGAAUCUCUACCAACUGGUAAUUUUCUUGUUGUGCAGUUGCUUGCUGUAUGCUGGAUUACAUAUCAUGUUUGCUAAGCUUAAAUGUUACUUUUCUAGAAAGUGACCUACUUUCUAGAAAAGUUUUGUUAGCAUAAAAAUCAACUUGUAAAUUAUGUUUGGCAAGAAAGAAGCUUAAAAAGUAACUCUUACUUCUUUUUAAGCUUAGCCAAACACGCUCAUACCUCCUAUAUGCGACAUUGAGAGAUGAUUUUAUCAUGUGAAUUCUUUUGAAAGUUUGACAUUUUGAUCCAUCAGAAAUUUGACUAGAGGUUGGUACAUUCAACGCACUUUCAGCAGUUGCCUUGAGAUCUAAUUCUGUUAACUCAGAGUCAUUAUAUAGUGGCUUAGUUUCUUAUUUAAACUAUGCUUCUGUGCAUUCCUUGUCCAUAUUGUUUUCACGCUUUUGUUUCGUGAAUUUGUGAAACAGGAGAGGCUCUUGACUGUUUGGUCUCUAUUCAGUCACGAUCAGGGAAGGACGACAGUGAGUUGUUGGAGCUGCUCAAGAGGGUUCUGAGAAUUCAGGAGAAAGCUUUUGGCCACGAGGGUGAGGAGGUCAUGGAAACCCUCAAGAAAAUUGUACAUUACAUGGACAAAAUGGGUAUGAAUAACGAGAAACGUCCAUUGCAAAGAAGAUUAUCCAUUUUGAGAAACAAACACAAGAAAAUGGUUAGGUAUUGACAACAGUGGCUUAUUGAGUUGGAUAUUUCUUGUUUUCUUGCAAUGGAGCGAAUCCUAGAUCCUUGGCUGUUUUGAUGUCACGAACAAUGAUGAAAAGUUUUAUGGCAAGAGUAAGCAGCCAGUAUUCAGCAUUUUUGAUAAUGAACAUUGAGGUACUUGGCAACUCAAAUCAUGCAUCUUUUGAUAGUUUAUAGCAUGCUUAAUUUUCUUGAUAUUCUUCAUGUUCUUAGUUAAUCGAUAAAAUCUUGCCUGUUUUACCUUGUCCUUAAAAGGAGAUGCCUUAUUGACUUUUGGGAAUUAUUCGUGAUUUUAGUCAAAGAAACGUUUUCACAUUCAUUUUAAGAAAAUUACAUUAGAAAAACAAUUUGAAGAAAAUUCUACCAUCUUGGUUGUAGGCUUGUAACGACCUUGCCAUAACCUUUGUUCAGACCGUGGACAUAAUAAAUGCUUAUAUACAUACAUAAAUAUAUAUAUAUAUAUACGGUCUAGAUCAUUUAGAUCACCAUAUCCGCAUCCAAACACACCCCAAUAAAGGUAUUAAUAGAUCUACACCAGUGGAUUAGCUUAAAGGGUUGUGAUUAUUUGUCAAAUUCAUUGGUAUAUAUAUGUGCGUGUGCGCGCGUGACUCACUUCUCUUCUUAUUUUGACCGGUUCUUAAGGAGUAUCGAAGCACUAGUCACUAGAUGUGCAUUUCACUCAUUUCUUCUUUGCUUUAUCAAUAUUUUGUGACAGGAAUGGAACUCAUAAAAGUUGCUUGUUCAAUAUCAAUGAUGAGAAUAAACAGCUUGAAGUAUAACUGAACAGCUUGCGAAAUGUGCGUCUCCACUUCAGGUAUAUGUAACAAUUGAUCAAGGCGAUCUCCAUCAGCAAGCAAAUAUUUAGCUGGACCUGAAAAUUCCAGUUUUGUCCACAUACUUGUCGAAUUAACUCCUGGUAUCCUCUGCCCCAUAAGCAUCAAAUGCUACUGCCCAUGUCAAAGGAAUCAUCUUUGAUGAUGUGAACUUCAGUGCUAUCUAUCUUUGACAGCCCAGGAGGUAUUCCCAAGUAAUUCGCUUUUAGGGACGAAUGUGUAGUUGUUUAUUAAGCGUUUUGAUGUUAUCUUUGACAUGAUGUCUGUUUUCGUGAAGCGUUUUGAUGUUAUCAACUUGCAAUAUAAGUAUGUUGGGGAUUGUUUAUUUUGAAGUAUUUUGAAUAUAAUGUGCAAUUAAUUUUAACUCCUUUCUUUGUACUUGUAAGGGUAGAAAGUAAGUAUUUUGAAUACUUGGCUUAAACAGUUGAAGAGUGUUUACAACCAGUUUUCCUUAUUCGUCAUCUUUUGUUUCAUGCAAUUGUUGUGAAAUACUCGCUUCAUUUUCUAUCUUAUUUUGGGUUAUACACAGAUACACUUG